GCCAGUGUGGUGGAAUUGGUAGACACGACGGAUUCAAAAUCCGUUGCCGAGAGGCGUGGCGGUUCGAGUCCGCCUACUGGUACCA
rnacentral:tRNA from 1 species